rnacentral:misc_RNA from 1 species
GAUGAAGAACGCAGCGAAAUGCGAUAAGUAGUGUGAAUUGCAGAAUUCAGUGAAUCAUCGAAUCUUUGAACGCACAUUGCGCCCUUUGGUAUUCCUUAGGGCAUGCCUGUUCGAGCGUCAUUUAAACCUUCAAGCUAAGCUUGGUGUUGGGUGACUGUCCGCUUCACUGCGGACUCGCCUCAAAAUUAUUGGCGGCCGGUACAUUGGCUUCGAGCGCAGCAGAAACGCGAACUCGGGCCCGUCGUAUUGGCUCCCAGAAGCUAUCUUCACAAUUUUGACCUCGGAUCAGGUAGGGAUACCCGCUGAACUUAAGCAUAUCAAAAGCGGAGGA